CCUACGGGAGGCAGCAGUGGGGAAUUUUGGACAAUGGGGGAAACCCUGAUCCAGCCAUCCCGCGUGUGCGAUGAAGGCCUUCGGGUUGUAAAGCACUUUUGGCAGGAAAGAAACGUCAUGGGUUAAUACCCCGUGAAACUGACGGUACCUGCAGAAUAAGCACCGGCUAACUACGUGCCAGCAGCCGCGGUAAUACGUAGGGUGCAAGCGUUAAUCGGAAUUACUGGGCGUAAAGCGUGCGCAGGCGGUUCGGAAAGAAAGAUGUGAAAUCCCAGAGCUUAACUUUGGAACUGCAUUUUUUAACUACCGGGCUAGAGUGUGUCAGAGGGAGGUGGAAUUCCGCGUGUAGCAGUGAAAUGCGUAGAUAUGCGGAGGAACACCGAUGGCGAAGCAGCCUCCUGGGAUAACACUGACGCUCAUGCACGAAAGCGUGGGGAGCAAACA
rnacentral:rRNA from 1 species